UUCGAUUCUGGCUCAGAUUGAACGCUGGCGGGAUGUACUUUACACAUGCAAGUCGAACGGCAGCACGGACUUCGGUCUGGUGGCGAGUGGCGAACGGGUGAGUAAUGUAUCGGAACGUGCCUAGUAGCGGGAUAACUACGCGAAAGCGCAGCUAAUACCACAUACGCCCUUCGGGAAAGCGGGGGACCUUCGGGCCUCGCACUAUUAGAGCGGCCGAUAUCGGAUUAGCUAGUUGGUGGGGUAACGGCUCACCAAGGCGACGAUCCGUAGCUGGUUUGAGAGAGGACGACCAGCCACACUGGGACUGAGACA
rnacentral:misc_RNA from 1 species